GGACCCGCACAAGUAGUGGAGCAUGUGGUUUAAUUCGAAGAUACGCGCAGAACCUUACCAACACUUGACAUGUUCGUCGCGACUUUAAGAGAUUAAAGUUUUCGGUUCGGCCGGACGAAACACAGGUGCUGCAUGGCUGUCGUCAGCUCGUGUCGUGAGAUGUUGGGUUAAGUCCCGCAACGAGCGCAACCCUCACUUUUAGUUGCCAUCAUUAAGUUGGGCACUCUGAAAGAACUGCCAGUGAUAAGCUGGAGGAAGGUGGGGAUGACGUCAAGUCCUCAUGGCCCUUACGUGUUGGGCUACACACGUGCUACAAUGGUAUCUACAACAGGAAGCAAGACUGCGAAGUUAAGCAAAUCCCUAAAAGAUACCUCAGUUCGGAUUGCACUCUGCAACUCGAGUGCAUG
rnacentral:rRNA from 1 species